UACGGGGGGGGGCAAGCGUUGUUCGGAAUUACUGGGCGUAAAGGGCUCGUAGGCGGCCAACUAAGUCCGACGUGAAAUCCCCAGGCUUAACCUGGGAACUGCGUCGGAUACUGGAUGGCUUGAGGUUGGGAGAGGGAUGCGGAAUUCCAGGUGUAGCGGUGAAAUGCGCAGAUAUCAGGAGGAACACCGGUGGCGAAGGCGGGUCUCUGGGCCGUAACUGACGCUGAGGAGCGAAAGCGUGGGGAGCGAACAGG
rnacentral:rRNA from 1 species